rnacentral:rRNA from 2 species
GGACUACCCGGGUAUCUAAUCCUAUUUGCUCCCCACGCUUUCGUGCCACAACGUCAGUAAUAGGCCAGUUAGCCGCCUUCGCCACUGGUGUUCCUUCAUAUAUCUACGCAUUCCACCGCUACACAUGAAAUUCCACUAACCUCUCCUACACUCUAGUCCUGUAGUUUCUAAGGCGGAUAGGAGUUGAGCUCCUAGAUUUAACCUCAGACUUGCAGAACCGUCUACGCACGCUUUACGCCCAAUAAAUCCGGAUAACGCUUGCCACCUAUGUAUUACCGCGGCGGCUGGCAC